AAUGGGCGCAAGCCUGAUCCAGCAAUGCCGCGUGCAGGACGAAGGCCUUCGGGUUGUAAACUGCUUUUGUACGGAGCGAAACGGCUUUCUCUAAUACAGGGGGCUAAUGACGGUACCGUAAGAAUAAGCACCGGCUAACUACGUGCCAGCAGCCGCGGUAAUACGUAGGGUGCGAGCGUUAAUCGGAAUUACUGGGCGUAAAGCGUGCGCAGGCGGUUUUGUAAGACAGAUGUGAAAUCCCCGGGCUCAACCUGGGACCUGCAUUUGUGACUGCAAAGCUGGAGUGCGGCAGAGGGGGAUGGAAUUCCGCGUGUAGCAGUGAAAUGCGUAGAUAUGCGGAGGAACACCGAUGGCGAAGGCAAUCCCCUGGGCCUGCACUGACGCUCAUGCACGAAAGCGUGGGGAGCAAA
rnacentral:rRNA from 1 species